UACAGAGGUCUCGAGCGUUAGGCGGAAUCACUGGGCUUAAAGCGUGUGUAGGCGGAUGCCUAAGUACCUUGUGAAAUCCCACGGCUUAACCGUGGAACUGCUUGGUAUACUGGGUGUCUUGAGCCACUCAGGGGCGAGCGGAACAAAUGGUGGAGCGGUGAAAUGCGUAGAUAUCAUUUGGAACGCCAAUGGUGAAAACAGCUCGCUGGGGGUGUGCUGACGCUGAGACACGAAAGCCAGGGGAGCGAACGGGAUUAGACCUUCG
rnacentral:rRNA from 1 species